AUCGCUUCUCGGCCUUUUGGCUAAGAUCAAGUGUAAUAUCUGUUCUUAUCAGUUUAAUAUCUGAUACAUCCUCUAUCCGAGAACACUAUAUUAAAUGCAUUUUUGGAACAGGGAGUUGGAAUAGGGGCUUGCUCUGUCUGCUUCAUUCAUUCACCUGGCAUUGCAGUACUUCCAGGAAUGGUGCCCCCCAU
rnacentral:snRNA from 1 species